AUGUUGUAUGGUGAUUGGGAUGAAGCAUACAACCGACUUCGUAGGUUGUUGGGAGCUAUGGCCGCCACUAACCCGGGCAUGCUAGUCAUCUCCAUCGAUGGCACCUUCUUGACCGGACAAUUCAAGGGCACUCUAUUGGUUGUAAUAGGGAAUGAUGCCAAUAACCGGUUUGUGCCUUUGGCUUUUGCUCUGGUUGAGGUGGAGAAAAAUGAUAACUGGGAGUGGUUCUUGCGUCUUUUGAGAACAAAGAAACAUCAAGAAAGGACGAAGUGGGCACAAGCUUUCGAUGAAGAUGGCCGGAGGUACGGUCAAAUGACAAGCAACAUGGAAGAAUGCUUCAACAUGGUGCUCAAGGGUGUCUGUGCAUUGCCCAUGGCAUCGACCAGAUGA
rnacentral:rRNA from 1 species